rnacentral:rRNA from 1 species
UACAGAGGUCUCAAGCGUUGUCCGGAUUCAUUGGGCGUAAAGAGCUCGUAGGCGGCCACUCAAGUCGAAUGUGAAACCUCGAGGCUUAACCUCGAGCCUGCAUUCGAUACUGGGCGGCUAGAGUCUGGUAGGGGGGAUCUGGGAAUUCCUGGUGUAGCGGUGGAAUGCGCAGAUAUCAGGAGGAACACCGGUGGCGAAGGCGGGGAUCCUGGGGCCAGUACUGACGCUGAGGGAGCGAAAAGCGUGGGGGAGCAAAACAGGG